CCGGUUGCUGUUUUCUGGUCAGACAGACGGAACCCACACGAGGUCCAGCCCGCCCACGCUAUCAGGUAUGCCAUCACAGUGUGGUAUUUUGAUGCUGAUGAGCGAGCCAGGGCUAAAGAGAAAUACCUAACAGGAGCUGGAGAGAAAGGAGUGAAGGUGGAACUGAACAAACCAUCAGACCCCAGCUAGUGAGAGAGGAGAGCGGAGAAAAAGAGAGAAGAGAGGAGGGGAGGAGACCAGAGGAGGGAGGGGAGAGAGGAGGAGACAGGAGGAGAGGGGAGAGGAGACACCCCAUCUACCAGCCAAGACCCCCCUCCAGCCAUGAAGUGCUAAUCCCUGAGAAAGGGAGAGGCCUAAACCAAGAGAGAGGGUGUAAGCGUAAGAGAGAGGAUUUCUUUACGUUUUCUGGAGCUCUACGGGUGGACUGAUUCCACAACUGACCUUGAAUGUCAUGACGUCACAGUACUGCAAGGAGAGACUGUCCCUUCUCUGCUUGUGGCCCAAAGGGGACCCUAUUUCCUACGUAGUGCACUAGUGACCAAAAAAUAGUUGCUCAAUGGAGAAUAUCCAUUGAACUAGCUUUUUAUUCCAGGACUAAGCUAUGGGCCCUGGUCAAAUGUAGUGCACUCUGUAGGGAUCACGGUUCCAUUUGGGACAGAGGCGGUGGCUUUUUGUUGAAGAGAAUGCUGAGAAAAAAGAAGCUGCCAUUUAGAGAACGCUUUGAGCUUCAGGAUCCAACUGACCCCUGAGAGACUGUUAUUCUGUUGUCUUUUACCAUGUUCUGGUAUUGAGCAUCAGGAUCCAACUGACCCGUGAGAGACUGUUAUUCUGUUGUCUUUUACCAUGUUCUGGUUUUGAGCUUCAGGAUCCAACUGACCCCUGAGAGACUCUGUUGUCUUUUACCAUGUUCUGGUUUUGAGCAUCAGGAUCCAACUGACCCCUGAGAGACUCUGUUGUCUUUUACCAUGUUCUGGUUUUGUGGUUGAUUCCUUAAAGGUACAGAGUCCAUACUGACGAACUCUGAGUUAACCGUAUUGCGAGUGCGUCUCGGAAGCAAGGCUUCUAAUUGGGACAGCUAACUUAGUUUUAAAAGGUUUAAGGGUUCAUUCAGAGUUCGUAAGUAUGGACCCACUGUGUUUUGCUUGUUGUGUUGAUGCUGUUUACAAGGAAUAAGCUGUUUUAAGCUUUUUGUUCAAUGAGCUUGUGGAGGUUUUUUAAUUAAAUGAGGAGAGAUCUCAAUUAAAAUAGUUUUUGGUAACAUGAGAGAUCUCAAUUAAAAUAGUUUUCGAUAACAUGAGGAGAGAUCUCAAUUAAAAAAGUUUUUGAUAACA